rnacentral:rRNA from 1 species
GUGAAAGGCCAAUCAAAUUCCGUGAUAGCUGGUUCNCUCCGAAAUGCAUUUGGGUGCAGCGUCGGGUCAUUACGUCCCGGGGGUAGAGCUACUGGAUGCUUGCGGGCCCGUAUCGGGUACCAACAGCAACCAAACUCCGAAUACCGGUGACGCGUAUCCCGGCAGUGAGUCGGCGGGGGAUAAGCUUCGUCGUCGAAAGGGAAACAGCCCAGACCGUCGUCUAAGGUCCCGAAGCGUGUGCUAAGUGGGAAAGGAUGUGGAGUCGCAUAGACAGCCAGGAGGUUGGCUCAGAAGCAGCCACCCUUGAAAGAGUGCGUAACAGCUCACUGGUCUAGUGGUUCCGCGCCGACAAUGUAGCGGGGCUCAAGCACACCACCGAAGACGCGGCAGUAUUUUGUACUGGGUAGGAGAGCGUCCCGUGAGGGGCGAAGCGGCCGUGUGAACGCGCCGUGGACUUCAUGGGAGUGAGAAUGCAGACAUGAGUAGCGAGAGACGGGUGAAGAUCCCGUCCGCUGGAUGACCAAGGGUUCCAGGGCCACGUUCAUCGUCCCUGGGUGAGUCGGGUCCUAAGGCGAGGCCGACAGGCGUAGUCGAAUGGAUGAACGGGUCGAUAUUCCCGUACCGGCUUUCAGCCGCCAAAAACCGAGGCUUGGAGUACUAACCUCCGGGUCCGGCUUACUGCUCCUUCGGGGGCGGGAUGCCCUGGCCUGUUGGGACCGAUCCUUGUAGUAGGUCAGCGCAGGAGUGACGCAGAAGGGUAGCCGGCCGCGGAGGUGGUCUUCCGUGGUCAAGCACGCAGGGCGUGGGACAGGCAAAUCCGUCCCGCAUGGGUCCGAGGUGCGAUGAUGGGGGCCUUAUGGCCCGAUAUCCGGUGAUCCCGGCUGCCGAGAAAAGCUUCGGCGUCAGGCUCAAAGCCGCCCGUACCCCAAAACCGACACUGGUGGUCAGGUAGAGAAUACCAAAGCGAUCGAGCGAAUCCUGGUCAAGGAACUCGGCAAAUCACUCCCGUUCCUUCGGUUUAAGGGAGACCCCCGAUGGUGAACACACUUGCUGUGGGAGCUUUUGGGGGUGGCACAGACCAGGGGGUAGCGACUGUUUACCAAAAACACAGGUGCAUGCGAAGGCGCAAGCCGCUGUAUAUGCACUGACGCCUGCCCGGUGCCGGAAGGUUAAGAGGAUCCGUCAGCCUUCGGGUGAAGCGGUGAAUUCAAGCCCCGGUAAACGGCGGUGGUAACUAUAACCAUCCUAAGGUAGCGAAAUUCCUUGUCGGGUAAGUUCCGACCUGCACGAAUGGCGUAACGACUUCCCCACUGUCUCGACCAGGAGCUCGGCGAAAUUGCAGUACGAGUAAAGAUGCUCGUUAAGCGCAGAAGGACGAAAAGACCCCGGGACCUUUACUAUACCUUGGUAUUGGCAUUCGGUGUGGAUUGUGUAGCAUAGGCGGGAGGCCGAGAGGCGCGGUCGCCAGAUCGCGCGGAGCCGUAAGGUGAAAUACCG